rnacentral:rRNA from 1 species
UGUAUAGGGUGUGACGCCUGCCCGGUGCUCGAAGGUUAAUUGAUGGGGUUAGCAUUAGCGAAGCUCUUGAUCGAAGCCCGAGUAAACGGCGGCCGUAACUAUAACGGUCCUAAGGUAGCGAAAUUCCUUGUCGGUUAAAUACCGACCUGCAUGAAUGGCGUAACGAGAUGGGAGCUGUCUCAAAGAGGGAUCCAGUGAAAUUGUAGUGGAGGUGAAAAUUCCUCCUACCCGCGGCAAGACGGAAAGACCCCGUGGACCUUUACUACAGCUUGACACUGCUACUUGGAUAAGAAUGUGCAGGAUAGGUGGGAGGCUUUGAGUAUAUGACGCCAGUUGUAUAUGAGCCAUUGUUGAGAUACCACUCUUUCUUAUUUGGGUAGCUAACCAGCUUGAGUUAUCCUCAAGUGGGACAAUGUCUGGUGGGUAGUUUGACUGGGGCGGUCGCCUCCCAAAUAAUAACGGAGGCUUACAAAGGUUGGCUCAGAACGGUUGGAAAUCGUUCGUAGAGUAUAAAGGUAUAAGCCAGCUUAACUGCAAGACAUACAAGUCAAGCAGAGACGAAAGUCGGUCUUAGUGAUCCGGUGGUUCUGUGUGGAAGGGCCAUCGCUCAAAGGAUAAAAGGUACCCCGGGGAUAACAGGCUGAUCUCCCCCAAGAGCUCACAUCGACGGGGAGGUUUGGCACCUCGAUGUCGGCUCAUCGCAUCCUGGGGCUGGAGCAGGUCCCAAGGGUAUGGCUGUUCGCCAUUUAAAGCGGUACGCGAGCUGGGUUCAGAACGUCGUGAGACAGUUCGGUCCCUAUCUGCCGUGGGCGUAAGAAGAUUGAAGAGAUUUGACCCUAGUACGAGAGGACCGGGUUGAACAAACCACUGGUGUAGCUGUUGUUCUGCCAAGAGCAUCGCAGCGUAGCUAAGUUUGGAAAGGAUAAACGCUGAAAGCAUCUAAGCGUGAAGCCAACUCUAAGAUGAAUCUUCUCUAAGCUCUCUAGAAGACUACUAGUUUGAUAGGCUGGGUGUGUAAUGGAUGAAAGUCCUUUAGCUGACCAGUACUAAUAGAGCGUUUGGCUUAUCUUUAAUAAAGCAU